GUCCAAAACCCUAAUUUUCAAUUUAAAACGGCCGACUUCGUCUUCUUCGUUUCAAACUACUGUUAACGCUGAUGGUGGUGAUGAAGAUCGACGGAGAUGACGGUUAGGUGUGCGGUGGACGACGGAGUGUGCAGUGGUGAAGAUGACGACCGGAGAAACAGUUGAUGCAGGCCGGAGGAGAUUGACGAAGAUGGAAGAUGUCACGGUGACUCGGAACCGAAACGAUUGCGACUCGAGAACUCGAAACCGAUGACUCGAGACGGUAGAAGAUGAUGACUCGAAACCUCUGUGUUCUUGCGACUGGGAAGGUUGCGACUCGGAACGGAACAACUCGAGAUUUUGAAUGAAGAAGUGGAAGACUCGAGACCUUGAGGUUAUUGUGAGUCGAAACCGGUGAAUGACUCGAGAUGGAACGGUUGCGACUCGGGAAAGAUGAUGAAUAGAUGACUCGAGAUCUUGAAGAUGAUCAGUCGAGACCGUGUUCUAAGGAUGCGAAGUCGGAACGAUAGAGAUGACUCGAGACCAAGUGGAGGUUGCGACUGUGACACGGAACUGAGCUGAUGACUCGAGACUGAUAUGAGCAGAGAGUCGAGACCGUGGUGAUAUUGAGUCGAGACCCUUUGAAAAUUCCUUUGCACGUGAUGGGAUAUUUUGGGAUAUGUUUUUUUUAAGAGAUUUGAAAAUAAAGGAUUUCCAACUUU
rnacentral:lncRNA from 1 species